rnacentral:rRNA from 1 species
UACAGAGGGUGCGAGCGUUAAUCGGAAUUACUGGGCGUAAAGCGUGCGCAGGCGGUUUUGUAAGACAGAUGUGAAAUCCCCUGGCUCAACCUGGGACCUGCAUUUGUGACUGCAAGGCUAGAGUACGGUAGAGGGGGAUGGAAUUCCGCGUGUAGCAGUGAAAUGCGUAGAUAUGCGGAGGAACACCGAUGGCGAAGGCAAUCCCCUGGACCUGUACUGACGCUCAUGCACGAAAGCGUGGGGAGCAAACAGG